AAAUCAUGGGCUAAUUUAAAUUUUGGGGUGAACUAUCCCUUUAAUGCAUUAUUCAGGCAGAGGUGCGCAGGCUGUUUGAGAGCUUAUCCUCAAAAAAAGAAACAUCCCAUGUGAUAUUACUUACAUUGUCGUGCCAUUAAAAAGCUUAGCUUUUACUUAAAAAACUGGAGCGUCCAGUGAAGCGCGCUGUAGCGCAAUCUUCUCGAGUGUGAAUGAUACUGCCGUCACACAGUUGUGGUCGUAGUUUGGUGCUGUUUACUGUAGCUCACAUCAGGUCACAUCAGUCGCGUUUACUCAACACAACGUAGUGUCUUCAGCUCCUCUCACUGUGGAAAAUGGCAAUGCCAUGGCAUAUUUUAUUUUUGUAUAAAUACAGCAAUGCAUAACUUCCCUAUGCCACAAUCUAGUAAUAAAGAAUCACUGCUCAUCCA